rnacentral:ribozyme from 1 species
GUCAGUAUAACACACUAGUAUUGAUAUGGGUCCGAAGCCUGUCCAAGGAUAAUAUAGGCUCUCCAUGUACUCCAUAUAUCUUAGAUAGAGCAUAAGGGAAAACUCUUGGAGAGAUGGGUGUUUUAGCUAAAUUGAGCGGU